ACGCAUACGCCCCCGGCGCUGCUGCGGCGGCUGGCUUGGGAGGGGGUCGAGGGAGCGGGAGCUUGGGGUGGGCUUCGGGAGCGCAGGGAACGGCGGGAGCCGGGAGGUGACGGCUAGCAGCGUGAGAAGGCCGCUGGCUCCUGAGAAAUCCCCCUCCUCCAGGUUGUUCUUCCGAGUGUGGUUUAAAGUUCAGGAGCGGGCGGGAGGGUGCGGAUGACGUAGAGAGGGCCGGCCGCUGGGGAGCUUUUGGGGGCGCGCGGGGCCGACUCUCCCGGCCUGGGAGGGCGACGGCCGGGGUUUUCGAGAGGUGGUUCCCCCUCUUCCCGACUUCGCACAUGCAAAUCUCCACCCCCGCGCCAGCGGCGGGACGUUGCGCCCUGUAGGGGGAAGUGGUGCUGCGGCGGGGGUCCUGUCU
rnacentral:lncRNA from 1 species